CCUACGGGCGGCUGCAGUGAGGAAUAUUGGUCAAUGGACGAGAGUCUGAACCAGCCAAGUAGCGUGAAGGAUGACUGCCCUAUGGGUUGUAAACUUCUUUUAUAUGGGAAUAAAACGUUCCACGUGUGGGAUUUUGUAUGUACCAUAUGAAUAAGGAUCGGCUAACUCCGUGCCAGCAGCCGCGGUAAUACGGAGGAUCCGAGCGUUAUCCGGAUUUAUUGGGUUUAAAGGGAGCGUAGGUGGAUUGUUAAGUCAGUUGUGAAAGUUUGCGGCUCAACCGUAAAAUUGCAGUUGAAACUGGCAGUCUUGAGUACAGUAGAGGUGGGCGGAAGUCGUGGUGUAGCGGUGAAAUGCUUAGAUAUCACGAAGAACUCCGAUUGCGAAGGCAGUUCACUGGACUGCAACUGACACUGAGGCUCGAAAGUGUGGGUAUCAAACAGGAUUAGAGACCCCAGUAGUC
rnacentral:rRNA from 1 species